AUUGAACGCUGGCGGCAGGCCUAACACAUGCAAGUCGAACGAGUGGCGGACGGGUGAGUAAUGUCUGGGAAACUGCCUGAUGGAGGGGGAUAACUACUGGAAACGGUAGCUAAUACCGCAUACCCUCAGAUGUCCCCAGAUGGGAUUAGCUAGUUGGUGGGGUAACGGCUCACCAAGGCGACGAUCCCUAGCUGGUCUGAGAGGAUGACCAGCCACACUGGAACGGAGAAACGGCCCAGACUCCGACGGGAGGCAGAAGUGGGGAAUAUUGCACAAUGGGCGCAAGCCUGAUGCAGCCAUGCCGCGUGUAUGAAGAAGGCCUUCGGGUUGUAAAGUACUUUCAGUGGGGAGGCGUUACCGACAGAAGAAGCACCGGCUAACUCCGUGCCAGCAGCCGCGGUAAUUC
rnacentral:rRNA from 1 species